AUGGACUUAAAGCCUACUACAUAAGAAUCUUUGUAAUGGUAACCCAACCUUGCUGACUGGAUAUCCCAAAAUCUUGGUUCAACGGGACAACUAAGUUAUGAAGAUUCAAUAAGCACUUCGGAGUUAACUCCUACCCAUUCAUAUGAUAAGGAAGUGCUAUCUGCAGAAAGUUUUAGGUUAAGUUAUACUUUUAAUGAUUCCUAUAUUUUGGACUACCUAAGUGAGUACGACAGGUACUCUUAAUAGGAGAUCACCUAUACAAGUGUGAAGUGUGGCUGCUUCUAUGAGAAUGUUUCAAAGGCUUGAAUUCUCUAAAGCACUUAUGAAAUCCAAGAAUUGUUCAGGGCCAAAAUGAACACAACAGUGAGAACUCGAAAAUAUUAGGAAGGUUAUUGUGUUGAUACUAUUGUCUUGGGUUACAAAAAUGGCUGACAGUUCAAAACACCGCGUUCACUUAUUAGCCAAGUAAAUCCGAUAGUAUUCUACUACGGAAGGUUCAAACCCAUAAGGUACCUAUCCAGAUGCGAUAACAUUCCGCCUGAUCUCUCUAUAGGGUUUGCAUAGUUAAUUGCAUUAAUUUCCAUUCAUAUGGGGGAUUGUUGGAAAAAUUGGUUUUAAUUAGUUGGUUUGACCAACUUUUGACCAAUUAAUUUAGUGGGUCCCGUUAAUCGGAAAUAAGAUUUCUUUGGCCGAAUGUGUUCUACUCCAUGAGUAUAUUAAUAUGGUAUAUUUAUUUUCUCAAAACCAAUUUAGGGUGAAUAAGAAAUUAAGGCCAAAAGAUGCCCACUUGAUGUUGAAAUAAAAUAGGUGGGAAAUUGGAAAAUACCAAUCCCACAUAGAAAAACUAGAAGAAUAUAAACCACCUUAUAUAGCUCAAGUUUGAGACUUGGGUUUGGGCCCCAUGGGGUACCAAUAGUCUUUGAGGGGUAGAGAACCUACAUGCUAGUAGGUUAAGCCAAAGCCUACAUGCGCGCGUCGCACCGCCGUCCGACCGGCCGGCUCGGCUCGACUCGGCACGGUCGUGGGUCGUGGGCUUGGGCCAAGUUGAU
rnacentral:lncRNA from 1 species